CAAAGGUAGCAUAAUCAUUAGGGGUUUAAUUGGAACCUGGAAUGAAGGGUUGGACAAAGGAAAGACUGUCUUUAUAAUAUAAGUUGAAAUUUACCUUUAAGUGAAAAGGCUUAAAUAUAUCAGAGGGACGAUAAGACCCUAUAAAGCUUUAUAAAUAAUAAAAAUUUAGUUGAUUUGGAAAUAAAAGUUAAGUUUGAUUAUUUUAUUUCGUUGGGGUGAUGUGGGCAUAAUUAAUAUUAACUGCUUAUGAGAAAUACUAUGAGUAAUAGAAUUGUAAAUAAUGAUCCUUUUUAAAGAUUAAAAGAAUAAGUUACUUUAGGGAUAACAGCGUUAUUUCUUUUGAGAGUUCAUAUCGAAAAAGGAGAUUGCGACCUCGAUGUUGAAUUAAAAUAUCUAUAUAAUGCAGCCGUUAUACAAGAGGGUCUGUUCGACCUUUAAAUUUUUACAUGAUUUGAGUUCA
rnacentral:rRNA from 1 species